ACUUCCUCUCUAACCCCCCCCCCCCCCCCCUCCUUUUUAUUUCUUUUCCUUUGCAUAGCUUGCCCCAUUCCUCCUUUCACCCUCCCCAUGAGGCCAUAGCCAGAGGUCUCAUCAGGGCUUCCUCAUGGGGUGGCUCCACUCCCUCUUCUCCCCCCUGAGGAAGCUCUGGGUUCGUGCGCAUUCCGAACGUCGAAACCGGAGGGGAAUGCACAUCCUCUACAAGGAUGUGAAGUCUUGCCAGGAUGAGGAUGUUCAGGUCCUGUGGUCCAUCCUGGUCGACUCGCACCGUCAUCCAGCUCUGAUGAAGCUGAAGCUCUAGGGUUCUUGAAGGGCAGGGCAAAGAUGUCAUGUCAUCCAUGGAUUUCCUGUGAUUUUUGCCGUGUAAUCGGCCAUUACCCUCUGUAUAGAAACAUCAUGAUUUCAUGAUUUGAAUGGCAUCAAGAUUCAAGAAACAUAGAAAGGAGAAAAAAAAUAGGCAGAUGUGUAUAUGCCUUUCUUGUGUGUUGAUGUGUGCUUCUUGUGGCUUUUGUGAGUGAAGGUUGAAAUGUCACCUUUGGUUGAUGUGAGUGAGGUUGAGUUUAUUGUGUUUUGUAUAUACUGAUGCUCUGAUGCCUUACCUAAUGGUAUGAAGUUUGGUAGUACGUA